GACGGAGGGUGCUAGCGUUGUUCGGAAUGACUGGGCGUAAAGGGCGCGUAGGCGGCUCGUGAAGUCGGGUGUGAAAGCCCGGGGCUCAACCCCGGAACGGCAUCCGAUACUGGCGGGCUUGAGACCGGGAGAGGAGGGUGGAAUACCCAGUGUAGAGGUGAAAUUCGUAGAUAUUGGGUGGAACACCAGUGGCGAAGGCGGCUCACUGGCCCGAUACUGACGCUGAGGCACGAAAGCGUGGGGAGCAAACAGG
rnacentral:rRNA from 1 species